rnacentral:rRNA from 1 species
AACAAACGCUGGCGGCGUGCCUAACGCAUGCAAGUCGUACGAGAAAGGGUCCUUCGGGGCCUGAGUAAAGUGGCGCACGGGUGAGUAACGCGUGGAUAAUCUGCCCUUCAGUUGGGAAUAACUCAUCGAAAGGUGGGCUAAUACCGAAUAAUGCUGUGAGACCUCGGUUGAUCAGCCAAAGAGAGCCUCUGCUUGCAAGCCCUCGCUGAAGGAUGAGUCCGCGUACCAUUAGCUAGUUGGUAGGGUAAUGGCCUACCAAGGCGACGAUGGUUAGCUGGUCUUGGAGGAUGAUCAGCCACACUGGAACUGAGACACGGUCCAGACUCCUACGGGAGGCAGCAGUGAGGAAUCUUGCGCAAUGGGGGCAACCCUGACGCAGCAACGCCGCGUGAGUGAGGAAGGUCUUCGGAUCGUAAAGCUCUGUCGGAUGGAAAGAACCGCAUAAGGGUAAACAGCCCCUGUGUCUGACGGUACCAUCAAAGGAAGCACCGGCUAACUCCGUGCCAGCCGCCGCGGUAAGAC